rnacentral:rRNA from 1 species
AGCGAACGCUGGCGGCAGGCCUAGCACAUGCAAGUCGAGCGCGUGUAGCAAUACACGAGCGGCAGACGGGUGAGUAACACGUGGGAACGUGCCCUUUGGUUAGGAAUAACUCAGGGAAACUUGAGCUAAUACCGGAUAAGUCCGUAAGGAGAAAGAUUUAUCGCCGAAGGAGCGGCCCGCGUCCGAUUAGCUAGUUGGUGGGGUAAUGGCCCACCAAGGCUACGGUCGGUAGCUGGUCUGAGAGGAUGACCAGCCACACUGGGACUGAGACACGGCCCAGACUCCUACGGGAGGCAGCAGUGGGGAAUAUUGGACAAUGGGCGCAAGCCUGAUCCAGCCAUGCCGCGUGGGUGAUGAAGGCCCUAGGGUUGUAAAGCCCUUUCGGCGGGGAAGAUAAUGACGGUACCCGCAGAAGAAGCCCCGGCUAACUUCGUGCCAGCCGCCGCCGUAA